CGCGUACUGUUUCAUACUUGAGGAGAAAUUAUCCUUGGUGUGUUCGCUCUGUUCGUGAUGCAUCAUACAAGGACAAUUUCUUUUUGAGUAUCAAAUCCUGCCUC
rnacentral:pre_miRNA from 1 species